rnacentral:rRNA from 1 species
AUUGAACGCUGGCGGCAGGCUUAACACAUGCAAGUCGAGCGGGGUGAUGGUGCUUGCACUAUCACUUAGCGGCGGACGGGGGAGUAAUGCUUAGGAAUCUGCCUAUUAGUGGGGGACAACAUCUCGAAAGGGAUGCUAAUACCGCAUACGUCCUACGGGAGAAAGCAGGGGAGCACUUGUGACCUUGCGCUACUAGAUGAGCCUAAGUCGGAUUAGCUAGGUGGUGGGGUAAAGGCCUACCAAGGCGACGAUCUGUAGCGGGUCUGAGAGGAUGAUCCGCCACACUGGGACUGAGACACGGCCCAGACUCCUACGGGAGGCAGCAGUGGGGAAUAUUGGACAAUGGGGGGAACCCUGAUCCAGCCAUGCCGCGUGUGUGAAGAAGGCCUUAUGGUUGUAAAGCACUUUAAGCGAGGAGGAGGCUCUUUUGGUUAAUACCCAAGAUGAGUGGACGUUACUCGCAGAAUAAGCACCGGCUAACUCUGUGCCAGCCGCCGCAGUAA